CUGGAGCUUUGGGUGCACAUCCUCUGCAUGAAGUGUCACGGUUGGCUGGAGCUGCGUGCUUGCAAAGUGAGAGAGCUCCAGGUGACAAGAGACAAAUCUGUUGCUGUCAAGGCAUCUACCAUGGGAGGGUUUGCAUGCCGAAUGUCCUCUGGAUAGAGGUUUGUCAGAUGCUUCAUCUUUGUCCAGGAUUUUUUCACAUUUCCAUCCUGUAAUCUGGACCCAUGCAGUCAGGCUUACAGAGGCUUUUGGAAGCGAAGCGUUUCCAAAACUGAGAGUCAGCAGGUGGCUGGAGGCAGGUCUGUGCUGCCUCGGUCACUGGGCUUGGCUCACGCUUCCAACAUUAAGGCUCACUCAGUUCUCAGAGAAAGAAUUUGUAUAGAAGGAAAUAAAGAACCAGGAGUGGCUGGAGAUGAGGCAGAGGGAGAGAGGAUGUUGCUGGUUUGGUUGCUCCUGUCUCAUGGUGGGCAUGGCUCUUCCAGUUGCUCUUCUCAUCACCCUUAAAGAUGCUACAGUGUGUUUGAAAGAGCAGGGAGGCACAAAGCCAUCCUUAGUGCUGUCUGCAAUUGCAUUUUGGUUCCUCAGUUGUUACUGUUUUCCAGUGACAGGUGUAAAAAAUAAAGCACACAACAGUUGUAUUUGUGGGGAUGCAGAGGUGAUGUGUGUGAAUGUACCUUUUGUUGUAGUCAUUUGAAAGACACCUAUUAAGUAUCGCUGCAUUUAGUUGUAAAAAACAUGCUGAAAUGAAGGCUACAGGAAUGUGAAGACCACAGAAAUUCAGCUGGUAUCUUCCUUCAGAGCUGCUGAGUCUGGGACCCAUGUUAAGAAGGACAAAGGGGAAGGCAUUAAAGGUGAAGGUCUGUGAAGACAGAGGAAACCAACCACAGAAGUGCUGGCACUGAAGGGAAGCCUGCAACACUGCAUGGGUGAGGUAGCCUUAAAAUGCCUUGCUGCGUUGGUCAGUGUUGGUGUGGCCCAGAAGACCUGGAGCAUCAUGAGCUGCUGUGCUUACAGACAUGGUUGGUGUCCGUAGCUCCUGGUGCUCAGCUUUUGGUCUUCCUGGGGUCCCCCGUUACUUCCAGGUGAAGCGUAGAUGCGCAGCCCAGCCCUAGGAGUAAUUCAUGUUCACGGAGCGUGGCUCAGGCCUGUCUGCUCCUGCACUUUCAUAGCCAGGGGUAGAAAAUUCCCACCAGCGUCGGCCUGGGAAAUGUUUUUUACAGAAAUCUCUGAAGCUUUCUAACCGCUCUGCCCCUUCGUUCUCAAGUCGCUAUCUUUUAUCGUGAGAGCUCUGCUGUGUGGAUAACUAUUGAGGAAACUCCCCGAGGCUGCUGAGCAGGAAUCUGCUUUAAUGACAGAGAUGCGUCCAAUUUUUAAGCAAAACAGCCUGUAAACUGUGCCAUCAGCUAACAAGUACAGGAUCCCUGCUGUGUCCUGUGUGGGAUCCUGUGGUAUUUUUAUUUCCAGGGUGAUACCCUCCUGGUAGCAUGUGGAGCUACAGCUGGGCCGCCAAGGAGCAUCCUGCUUUGGGAAGAUGAACAGAGAAUAUGUUCCUCAGGAUUGCCAUGCCUAAUUAGCCUUGAGUUCUGGUAUUAGGAGAUGUUAAUGAGCUGGAGCAUAUAAACUAACCACAGGAAAAAGAAACCCUUUUAAUAGCUACACCAGUGGUAAAGUUGCGGUGCUCCAUGGGGUUGGAGGAGCCAUCGGGACGUGGCCAUGGCCACAACGACCUGCUCCCAAUGAGGCACUGCUUGGUGCCCACACUGAGGAGCAGCCAUUUGCUGUGCAGUGAUCUGAUUAGCACGGAGAUAGGUGGGUUUUGUUCUUUUACUUCGAGUGCAAAUGAGCACUCCAUCUAAUAUUGCGUAUAGCUUCCAUUAUGCAUUGCCUGCUCAUAUUUGUAUGUUGUGCCCCAUUUCCCUUUGGGUUGCAUUUUUUUUUUUUUUUUACCCUUGCUUUUCUGCACGUUGAUGGGAAUAUCCUGGUGGUUAACAUUCAGACUGUGGAACGAGGAAGCAAUGUGUGCACAGUGCUUGCUCUGCACAGUGCUGGCUGAGCCCCGCUGUGGGUGUCUGGGCGCAAGGCAUGUCCGAGCAGCAGCCCCUGACGUCUGUCCCCAGGAUGUCUGUGCAGGAACUUGCUGCUUCUUGCUUUCAGUUGUGUACAUCGCUGUCAGAAGCCAUGAACUCAGGGCAGGAGGCUGGAAGCCGAGUGCUGCCGAAGCGCUUUGGGGCCAAUUUCACCCUCUUGGUGUCUGAUACUCACUGUGGAAAGGUCCUGAUGUACACUGGGCUGCAGACCUGUGUGUGGUUGUGUGGUAUCCUAUCUGUAUCUCAUCAUUCCCAUCAGUGACACCGAUGGGUUCCCAGCAGCAUACAGAGUCCAGUGUAG
rnacentral:lncRNA from 1 species